UUUCCAUUGAGUUGUCAGGGAGGUGUGCUCUAUGUUAGUGAUGCCGUAAUGACAUUAGAUGUGGUGCGGUAAAUCAGGUUUUUAGUCAAAACACUGAACCUUUUUCGUCGGUAUUUUUGGAUUUUACGAUUUUGUGUGCCUUUAACGUAUUUGAGAUCUGUGUAAAGACAAUUUAUUGGUGUGGUAUAUGGUUUGUACCAUCUGAAAUAGUUUAGGUUAAAGUUCAGCAAUUCCAUAGCAAUAGAAAGAAAAUUGGGCUACAGAUUUUUCGUUUUUCUCCUAAACAGUAUUAAAACAGUGAAGUGCUGUGCUCCAGACCGCAAUUAUUAUACUAUGUUUAUUAACCCAUUAGGCACUGAAUUGAAUUGGACUAAAUGAGUCUUCUUCUUAGACAGUGUCCAGGGAGAGGCCUGCGGUCACUGUGAAAUUUGUUGGAGCAAGAAACCCGGACAGUGGCAUUCUUGCUUUACCGGGCAUUAUCCAGAAACUUUGUUGUAAAGUUCCGGAAAUGCUCCAGCAGGUCUUCUGUGUUCAGGUCUCUUUGCAGGGUGGUA
rnacentral:misc_RNA from 1 species